AGCGAACGCUGGCGGCAGGCCUAACACAUGCAAGUCGAACGAAGUCUUCGGACUUAGUGGCGGACGGGUGAGUAACACGUGGGAACGUGCCUUUAGGUUCGGAAUAACUCAGGGAAACUUGUGCUAAUACCGAAUGUGCCCUUCGGGGGAAAGAUUUGUCGCCUUUAGAGCGGCCCGCGUCUGAUUAGCUAGUUGGUGAGGUAAAGGCUCACCAAGGCUACGAUCAGUAGCUGGUCUGAGAGGAUGACCAGCCACAUUGGGACUGAGACACGGCCCAAACUCCUACGGGAGGCAGCAGUGGGGAAUCUUGCGCAAUGGGCGAAAGCCUGACGCAGCCAUGCCGCGUGGAUGAUGAAGGUCCUAGGGUUGUAAAGCCCUUUCAGCGGGGAAGAUAAUGACGGUACCCGCAGAAGAAGCCCCGGCUAACUUCGUGCCAGCCGCCGCCGUAAGAC
rnacentral:rRNA from 1 species